rnacentral:rRNA from 1 species
AUUGAACGCUGGCGGCAGGCCUAACACAUGCAAGUCGAGCGAGCGGCGGACGGGUGAGUAAUGUAUGGGGACUGCCCGAUAGAGGGGGAUCACUACUGGAAACGGUAGCUAAUACCGCAUACUAUCGGAUAACCCAUAUGGGAUUAGCUAGUAGGGAAGGUAAUGGCUCACCUAGGCGACGAUCCCUCGCUGGUAUGAGAGAAAGAUCAGCGUGACAGGGACGUAGACACGGCCAGGCCUCCUACGGAAGCAGCAGGGGGGAAUAAUGCACAGUGGGCGCAAGCCGGAUGCAGCCAGGCAGCGUGUAGAAAGAAGGCCCGAGGGUUGUAAAGUACUGGCAGUCGGGAGGCGUUACCGACAGAAGAAGCACCGGCUAACUCCGUGCCAGCAGCCGCGGUAAUUC